UUAUUGGAGAGUUUGAUCCUGGCUCAGGACGAACGCUGGCGGCGUGCCUAAUACAUGCAAGUCGAGCGGUCCCUUCGGGGAUAGCGGCGGACGGGUGAG
rnacentral:rRNA from 1 species